rnacentral:rRNA from 1 species
UACGUAGGGGGCAAGCGUUGUCCGGAAUUAUUGGGCGUAAAGGGCUCGUAGGCGGUCUGUUGCGUCGGGAGUGAAAACUUACAGCUUAACUGUGAGCGUGCUUCCGAUACGGGCAGACUUGAGGUAUUCAGGGGAGAACGGAAUUCCUGGUGUAGCGGUGAAAUGCGCAGAUAUCAGGAGGAACACCGGUGGCGAAGGCGGUUCUCUGGGAAUAUCCUGACGCUGAGGAGCGAAAGUGUGGGGAGCGAACGGG